AUACAAUGUUACAUGUCCUCGCCCUAGAUCGAGUGUAUUUAUAAAUACUUGGAAAUGAAACAGAGCAGCAUUUCUUGUUAAGCCGCUUAAUUAUCUGGAGUUAUGAGACGGUAACAGUAGAAGAAGAUGUGCUUUGUUCUAUGACUGGCGUAAUGAUUCAUAUAUAAAUAGCCCAGUGAGUCGGAAAACUUUCAUUGAACUGCUGACAUAAUGUGAGGCAAGUCACGUACUGUUUAAAUAUACUCAAUAAAUGUCGCGACUUGGUGAUUUAAUCAAAAUCUUUUAACCAAUUUCAGAGCAGUAAGCUGAAUUUUAAAGAUGGUGAAAGACAUAUGUAAGGAGUGUAGAAAUGGAGUCCACGCAUGUGGCAGUGAAACAAAAGAAAACGGACAGACUCGCCCACCCCCACCCUGUCACCACGGACACAACAGAGAGGACACGGUGGCUGCCCCUAACACUGACCAGAAGGUCAACACGUGGGGCUCAUUCAAAACCAAAGACCAUUUCCUUGAACUACAUUUCCGGUGAACCAGUUCAAGACUUACUCAUAUUUUUUGGUUGCCAUGCAACUUCAUCGUAUUUAAUUGAAUGCUUAUGUUUAAAUAGGUGAAAAGACUGGAGUUUUUGAUAUUUCAUAAAUUUCAGUACGGGUAUAUGUGUCAUAUUUUGUAUUUGUAACAUCGGUAAUUUUUUUUAUACUAAUGUUAGUACCGAUUGUACGAGUUUCCUACGUAAUUGCUGCAUCUCAGGACUGUGUGUAAAUCAUGUGUUCAAUUCCUGUUUUAAUGGCGUAUAAGGAAAUAAAAAUAUCAGCUGCAAGAG
rnacentral:sRNA from 1 species